UGUCCAACGUUAAUCGGGGCAGGGUGAGUCGACCCCUAAGGCGAGGCCGAAAGGCGUAGUCGAUGGGAAACGGGUUAAUAUUCCCGUACUUGGUGUUACUGCGAAGGGGGGACGGAGAAGGCUAUGUUGGCCGGGCGACGGUUGUCCCGGUUUAAGCGUGUAGGUGUGUGUUCCAGGUAAAUCCGGUUCACUUUAACACUGAGGCGUGACGACGAGGCACUACGGUGCUGAAGCAACAAAUGCCCUGCUUCCAGGAAAAGCCUCUAAGCAUCAGGUAACAUCAAAUCGUACCCCAAACCGACACAGGUGGUCAGGUAGAGAAUACCAAGGCGCUUGAGAGAACUCGGGUGAAGGAACUAGGCAAAAUGGUGCCGUAACUUCGGGAGAAGGCACGCUGACACGUAGGUGAAGUGAUUUACUCAUGGAGCUGAAGUCAGUCGAAGAUACCAGCUGGCUGCAACUGUUUAUUAAAAACACAGCACUGUGCAAACACGAAAGUGGACGUAUACGGUGUGACGCCUGCCCGGUGCCGGAAGGUUAAUUGAUGGGGUCAGCGCAAGCGAAGCUCCUGAUCGAAGCCCCGGUAAACGGCGGCCGUAACUAUAACGGUCCUAAGGUAGCGAAAUUCCUUGUCGGGUAAGUUCCGACCUGCACGAAUGGCGUAAUGAUGGCCAGGCUGUCUCCACCCGAGACUCAGUGAAAUUGAACUCGCUGUGAAGAUGCAGUGUACCCGCGGCAAGACGGAAAGACCCCGUGAACCUUUACUAUAGCUUGACACUGAACAUUGAGCCUUGAUGUGUAGGAUAGGUGGGAGGCUUUGAAGUGUGGACGCCAGUCUGCAUGGAGCCGACCUUGAAAUACCACCCUUUAAUGUUUGAUGUUCUAACGUGGACCCGUUACCCGGGUUGCGGACAGUGUCUGGUGGGUAGUUUGACUGGGGCGGUCUCCUCCUAAAGAGUAACGGAGGAGCACGAAGGUUGGCUAAUCCUGGUCGGACAUCAGGAGGUUAGUGCAAUGGCAUAAGCCAGCUUGACUGCGAGCGUGACGGCGCGAGCAGGUGCGAAAGCAGGUCAUAGUGAUCCGGUGGUUCUGAAUGGAAGGGCCAUCGCUCAACGGAUAAAAGGUACUCCGGGGAUAACAGGCUGAUACCGCCCAAGAGUUCAUAUCGACGGCGGUGUUUGGCACCUCGAUGUCGGCUCAUCACAUCCUGGGGCUGAAGUAGGUCCCAAGGGUAUGGCUGUUCGCCAUUUAAAGUGGUACGCGAGCUGGGUUUAGAACGUCGUGAGACAGUUCGGUCCCUAUCUGCCGUGGGCGCUGGAGAACUGAGGGGGGCUGCUCCUAGUACGAGAGGACCGGAGUGGACGCAUCACUGGUGUUCGGGUUGUCAUGCCAAUGGCACUGCCCGGUAGCUAAAUGCGGAAGAGAUAAGUGCUGAAAGCAUCUAAGCACGAAACUUGCCCCGA
rnacentral:rRNA from 1 species